CGCCCGCCGCCUCCGGGCGCCCCGCGAAGCCGCCUCCGGCCGCUCGGCCUCGGGGGACCAGGGCUCCGCGGACGUGGGCGGCCCAGGAGGCGCCGCGGUUCUGACGGCGUUCCCAGAAGACGGCUUAGACCCCCUUCCCGUCCUCGAGGUCGUGUCAGGCCCCCAGGGGCGCGCGGUCCCCCCUGAAAACGGUGGUUGAGGAAGAAGCCGGAGCCCCUGUUUCAUCAGAAUAGAUGCGAGGGCAGCCCGCGUGCGGGGUCCGCGCCCCGAGCCCUGGCCACGAGGCCGCCGCGUGCCCGGGGACCGGCAGGGGCGUCCCUUCUGCUGCUGGAGCCCAGGUGUCACUUCGGUGUUCCCUCUGCCAGACAAUCACUGAAUAUCCCAUGAAAGUAUUACUUCUCAACAAACAACUCUUUCCUAAUCCCUUGGGAAGCGGCUGCGGCUCAAUCAUCUGGGCUCCCGUCUACCACAUGGGAGGCCGUGGGUUCACGUCCUGGGGCUCCUUGUGAAGUCAAGCUCGCCCGUGUGCCGCAGAGAGCUGAUGGCCGGCUCCCGCACAGCCGAGAGCUGACGCAGCAAGACGAGGCAACAAAGGGAGACAAGCAGACAACGCGCAGUGAGUGGACACAGAGCAGACAGCAAAGCAAGCAGCAAGGGGGGGAAUAAAAAAAAUAUUUUUUAAAAACUUCGUUUUAU
rnacentral:lncRNA from 1 species